rnacentral:rRNA from 1 species
UACAGAGGGUGCGAGCGUUAAUCGGAGUUACUGGGCGUAAAGCGUGCGCAGGCGGUUCGGAAAGAAAGAUGUGAAAUCCCAGGGCUUAACCUUGGAACUGCAUUUUUAACUACCGGGCUAGAGCGUGUCAGAGGGGGGUGGAAUUCCACGUGUAGCAGUGAAAUGCGUAGAUAUGUGGAGGAACACCGAUGGCGAAGGCAGCCCCCUGGGAUAACACUGACGCUCAUGCACGAAAGCGUGGGGAGCAAACAGG